rnacentral:rRNA from 1 species
GCAGAACGCGAAGAACCUUACCUGGGCUAGAAAGCACAAGAACCUCGGUGAAAACUGAGGGUGCCCUUCGGGGAACUUGUGAUUAGGUGCUGCAUGGCUGUCGUCAGCUCGUGUCGUGAGAUGUUGGGUUAAGUCCCGCAACGAGCGCAACCCUUGCUGUUAGUUGCCAUCAUUAAGUUGGGCACUCUAACAGGACUGCCGACCUUUAAGUCGGAGGAAGGUGGGGAUGACGUCAAGUCCUCAUGGCCCUUACGUCCAGGGCUACACACGUGCUACAAUGAACGGUACAAAGGGUCGCGAAACCGUGAGGUGGAGCCAAUCCCAAAAGCCGUUCUCAGUACGGAUAAGAGUCUGCAACUCGACUCUUUGAAGGCGGAAUCGCUAGUAAUCCCUGAUCAGCAUAGCAGGGGUGAAUACGUUCCCGGGUCUUGUACACACCG